rnacentral:rRNA from 2 species
AGCAGCCGCGGUAAUUCCAGCUCCAAUAGCGUAUAUUAAAGUUGUUGCAGUUAAAAAGCUCGUAGUUGAAUUUCGGGGUUAGUAGGUUGGUCAUGCCUCUGGUAUGUACUGGUCUCACUGAUUCCUCCUUCCUGAUGAGCCGUAAUGCCAUUAAUUUGGUGUUGCGGGGAAUUUGGACUGUUACUUUGAAAAAAUUAGAGUGUUUAAAGCAAGCUAACGCUUGAAUACAUUAGCAUGGAAUAAUGAAAUAGGACGUUCGAUCCUAUUUUGUUGGUUUCUAGGAUUGACGUAAUGAUUAAUAGGGAUAGUUGGGGGCAUUAGUAUUCAAUUGUCAGAGGUGAAAUUCUUGGAUUUAUUGAAGACUAACUACUGCGAAAGCAUUUGCCAAGGAUGUUUUCAUUAAUCAAGAACGAAAGUUAGGGGAUCGAAGACGAUCAGAUACCGUCGUAG